CCCAUGUCAAAUCCCAUAAUAUUCCUUUAACAUAUUAAGAGAUGAUGCUUAAAAUUCUGAAGUUUCUGUAACUGAAGUUAAAAUUCUCCCUACAAAUACAUAUAACCGAUAAUUUUCAGAGAGUAAGUUUUGGUAAGUGUUGGGGGGGCAUCUAGAGAAUUUGGCACUUGGCACUUUGGCACAACUGGAGGAAUUGUCUGAGGGUACAAGAACAGCCGGCCCUUGUGUGACAACUGCCGGUUACCUUACAGGUUGGUGGAGGCCCGGCCUUGCUUCCCGGAGAAUACUUCUCCCAGCGGCAACUCUGCCGGUGUUGGACAUACCCAAUCAAUGAAUUUCAGCUGUCAUCGCGAUCGACACGGAUCACUGAACAAUUGACUAGACUGUGAUGAUCAGUAUUGAUUGUGAAUGUGUCUGAAAUUAAAAUAUUGGAUACACUAUAGACUAUUCAUUUUGUGAACGUGGAAUACAGGCAUUGAACCAUGAGUCUUUAAUUCCCAUGCUUGUCACCUCAUCUUAUACGACCAAGACAUUCAUUCUCCUCCAUUUUUGCUUCUAAGAGAAGGAGAAAUUUAAGUGGUUUCAUCAGAGAUACAGAUGGAAAGAGAGUGAGACUCUGUAUCCUGCAGGUGACUUCUCAGUCCCAGCUCUGGGGAAUGCAUCCGUACAAGAGAAACAGCACACAGUGGAAGGAAUUCAUUUCUCAGGAAAAGAGACAGAUGUGAUAUUAUCACGAAUGGUCGGGGAAAUUGAUUGUCCAUUGACACUCAGUUUCACAGUGAAAAUUCAGCUUUCCUAAUUUCCAGAUGCCUCUUCCAAAACCUGGAAUUCCCCUGGACCCAGUUUGAAGACCUUGCUCUGAGGAUUUGGCCAAACGUCUUGAGCCUCAAUCAGGACUUUCCUCAUGUGCUAGCUAACAUGGUAGACAUCUGUGGGACCUUAAAUAAGCUCUGAAUUGUGAUCUCUAAAGCUCUGAUAACUUCUGAAGCCAAAUCCAUUUUAAUCUGUGUAGUGGGUUUGAUAGUGUUUCCUAAAAAUUCAUGUUCAUUCAAAACCUCAGAAAAUGACCUUAUUUGGAGUAAGGGUCCUUUCAGAUAUAAUUAAGACAAGCUUCAAGAUGAGAUAAACCUGGAUUACAGUGGGCCCUAAAGCCAGUGAGACUAUCCUUUCAAGGCACGGAAAAAGGAGAAGACCCAAAGAUGUAAAGAAGAAAGCACUGUAAAGACAGAGAUAGAGUUGUCCGUGAGCCAAGGAGUAUCAACGAUUGCCAUCAACUACCAGCAGCUAAAAGAAAGCAAUGAGACAGUCUCUUCCUCACAUCUUUCAAAGGGAACCAACCUGUUAACACCUUGAUUUUGGAUUUCUGGCCACCAAAAACUGUGAGACAAUAAAUUUCUUUGUCUUCAGCUACCA
rnacentral:lncRNA from 1 species